GGUGGCUCACUGGUAGAGCACUUGCCUUGUAUGCAAGAGGCCCUGUGUUCGAUUCCUCAGCACCA
rfam:Dipodomys ordii contig_46797, whole genome shotgun sequence.